rnacentral:rRNA from 1 species
CAGUCGCCGCGGGAAUACGUAGGGUGCAAGCGUUAAUCGGAAUUACUGGGCGUAAAGCGUGCGCAGGCGGUUGUGUAAGACAGGUGUGAAAUCCCCGGGCUUAACCUGGGAAUUGCAUUUGUGACUGCACGACUAGAGUGUGUCAGAGGGGGGUGGAAUUCCACGUGUAGCAGUGAAAUGCGUAGAUAUGUGGAGGAACACCAAUGGCGAAGGCAGCCCCCUGGGAUAACACUGACGCUCAUGCACGAAAGCGUGGGGAGCAAACAGGAUUAGAUACCCCCGUAGUCCCUGUCUCUUAUAC